rnacentral:rRNA from 1 species
UUUUUUUUCAAACAUCGCCUCUUGCUAAAACAUAAGAGGUCCCGCCUGCCCCGUGACUUAGUUUAACGGCCGCGGUAUUUUAACCGUGCAAAGGUAGCAUAAUAAAUUGUUCUCUAAAUAAGGACUAGUAUGAAUGGCACCACGAAGGCUCAACUGUCUCCCCCCUCUAAUCAAUGAAACUGAUCUCCUCGUGAAGAAGCGGGGAUAAAUAUACAAGACGAAAAGACCCCAUGGAGCUUUAAACUCACUACCAAUUACCUACACUACACCAAAAGAAAAAGUAAAAAUGUCCUACGUAGUUUUUGGCUGGGGCAACCCUGGAGUAUAACAAAACCUCCAGAAUGAACGGAUUAAUAUCCUAAUAUAAGAACCACAAUUCUAAUAAUCAAUAAACUGACAUUUAUGAUCCAAAUUAUUGAUCAAUGAAACAAGUUACCCUGGGGAUAACAGCGCAAUCCAUUUCAAGAGCCCCUAUCGACAAAUGGGUUUACGACCUCGAUGUUGGAUCGGGGUACCCCAGUGGCGCAGCCGCUACCAAAGGUUCGUUUGUUCAACGAUUAAUAACCUCACGUGUUGGGUC